CUGGAAAGUUAGAGUGUGGGGGGGUUCGGGUGGGGGGAGAGAGAUCUACAGUUAUGAAAGGGAGCCAGGAUCCGACAGAUCUCUCUCUUCUGUGCUCCUCAUUUGUGUUGUCUCGUGUCUCUCGGGCUAUCUAUCCGUUCCUCUUCUCUCGGGGUUCUAACCCUAACCUCCCGUUGACCACGCGUUCGUUCCCUAGGAAGGUAGCUAAGAACGAACGAAGAGCGGGGAAGGCAACGUGAGUUAAGAAACGCACCGCAAUGUCUAGUCCCGUUAUCCCGAUGCCUCUCCGCUCCGAGCCAGGGGCCUAAGCGUCCUCAACGCGGCCACCAGCGCCGCGCUACCGACCGCAACUGCGCCGCUCCAUACGCGUCUCGGGUCGCGUGGUGCGGCACCGCUACGUCCUGGUGCGACGGGAAGCGGCGCACGAUCUGCGCGAGGGCGUCCGAGCCUUCGGGCUCCUCUAGGCCUGCCUCCGCCUGAGGUAGCGGCUCCUCCGCGCUCGCCUCCGACAGAGCCGGUAGGAGCUGGCCGCACUGCAGGGACCCGCGCUCUGGGGCGAGGUGGAGCGGCAGGCGAAGCCGCUGCGGCGCCGUCGACUCUACGAGUACCGCCGCCCCCGGCUGACCUCGGACGUCUUGCUCGUACCGACCUCGCGCGAGGUCCUCCGAUAGACGCGCGCACUCCUCCGCGAGCGUGCGCAGUAGCACGCGGUGAUGGUCGGAGAGCGGACCCGGUUUACCACGGCGGCGGACGGGGCGCAACAGCGGCGGUACGCGGCCUACGCGCUGAAGAUGUACCUUUAGUGUAAGGUGAAGCUCUCGAGGCAGUAAGGGAAGUAGAGGGCGUAGCGCGGGAGCCUAUGGAUGUCCCAGACCUUCGCGCCCCGGUUGGAGGCACGCCUGUACUGCGAACGUCCGAAGCUACCGAAGUUCUAGGUCGCGAGACUGGUCUGAUAAGACAAAGAACCCCUCCCGAGCCUCCUGCCGUUCCACGGUGGUCCCAGGAACACGUACUAAUUGGUGUUUCUAUUCCUCCGCUACUUGCGCGAACUUCCACGACCGCGCGGCCGGAGGCUCCGUCUCCAGGUCGUCCUCCAGUGGCGUUACAGUGUCUGCUUAUAGAAGGCAGGCCCCUAUCUACAGUGAGUUCGUCACGACGAAGGUGUCCAGUGUACCGCCGCCGUCCUCUCCUGUCUCCGACAACCGAACACCUUCCGAUUCCACAUACUGUACGUGGUACAAUACCACUCACAAUUCAGUUCCUCCCAAGGACCACGCUACUGCCUACUCCUUAAGAAAAGUCGAACGUUACUCUUACUAUGGCUCUCACUCCCCAAGCUACUACAUGACUGACUGCUCCUCUUCUCCGUCGACCUUAGACGCGAAUUCUACCUAAGAAGUCUCCGACAACCACUGUCGGUCAGGCUGUGGAAACAUCCAGGAUCCGUAUCAACGAAACUCGGUUCCCUCUCCCUUUAUGGUUAACUCCUAAACUCGUAGAGACCUUUACCCCUCUCAUUCGUACUAUUCUUUCCAACCAAAUCAUUAACCCCUUUCUCCCCAGUUUGACCGUAAUCAUUUGAUCUCUACUGUUUCUUCUACCGUGGAGGUUCUUCAAGCGAGACACAUCUACUCUUCCAAUCGCUGGAGGCGGAACCUAGAGGUAGUUUACAUGUUUGAUUUGGUCCUUCUGUAAGUCACCUAUAUCACUCUUCCCUACUCUUAUCUUUACCGUUCCUUUUCCUGACAGCAUUUGAACGUUGAAGACCCUUACCUGUAUCCGCGUUUCUUUCAUCGUUUCUUUCACUCAUAUUCUUUCCAGAUUCCGGACAAGAAACCAACAGGGGAUUAAAGGGAGACUCCUGACUCCUCGAGAACGGUGAUGAACUAUAAGAACGUUUGUUCCACUUCCGUUAGGCAGCAAACUCCCUAGAUGAGUGGUGUUUUGACGGAGGUCCUUGAAAAGGUCAGUUCCAACGGUAAGGUCAACAUGGGUGUUAGUCCCAAGAACACUGUAAGUGUUUCAAACUUCUCGAUGUCGGUAAUCUUCUCAAGUCGUGUGGAGGAAGGUCGGGACUGUUAACGUUCUCGGGUCCUCGGGUCUGCAGAAGUUCGAGGACCCAAGUCACCUAGUUCCGAGGAAUGGCGGUCUUGAAGAGCUGUCGUGUUCCAGGGUCGUUGGCACACCUCCUGUAGGUUCUGGGGAAACAAUAGGGACGACUAAUACGGACCUGAUGCGGUCCUCUCUUCUUUUUCUCCUGUGUUCUUUUGUUCUUGUUCAGUUUCUUUCCAUCUUGGCGCAGAAUCCAAUAUAAACCACCAGACUCUAUACAGCGCCCAAACGGCCCACAGUAAGCAAUAUCCUCGUCUAUGAGUCACUAUAGGAGAAUAGAUUGUCCUUACUACUCACCCUUCCAAACUCCUAAAGCUGGACGACGUCCAUUGUUCACCGCUUACAGCUCUUUGUUGGUGAACAGAUCAAAGCUACAUUAUUUUAUUAACGACAAUUGUAAGAAAGCAAAUUGGGUUUACUAAGGUUGGGACUAAUUAUAACGACGUCGUAACGAUCCACCGAACAACUAUAAACGUCACAAAAAUAACUCGGCAGUCUCGGUAUAAUAAUAAUAAUAAUAAUCUCUACCAAUCCUCCCAUUACCAUAGAGUUCAAGCGAUCCCUAGUUUGGAGUUUCGAGU
rnacentral:rRNA from 1 species